rnacentral:rRNA from 1 species
UACGUAGGGGGCAAGCGUUGUCCGGAUUUAUUGGGCGUAAAGAGCGUGUAGGCGGUUUGGUAGGUCCGCUGUGAAAACUCGAGGCUCAACCUCGAGACGCCGGUGGAAACCAUCAGGCUAGAGUCCGGAAGAGGAGAGUGGAAUUCCUGGUGUAGCGGUGAAAUGCGCAGAUAUCAGGAGGAACACCGGUGGCGAAGGCGGAUCUCUGGGCCUUACCUGACGCUCAGGUGCGAAAGCUAGGGGAGCGAACAGG